rnacentral:rRNA from 1 species
AGCGAACGCUGGCGGCAGGCUUAACACAUGCAAGUCGAACGGGCAUAGCAAUAUGUCAGUGGCAGACGGGUGAGUAACGCGUGGGAACGUACCUUUUGGUUCGGAACAACACAGGGAAACUUGUGCUAAUACCGGAUAAGCCCUUACGGGGAAAGAUUUAUCGCCGAAGGAUCGGCCCGGGUCUGAUUAGCUAGUUGGUAGGGUAAUGGCCUACCAAGGCGACGAUCAGUAGCUGGUCUGAGAGGAUGAUCAGCCACAUUGGGACUGAGACACGGCCCAAACUCCUACGGGAGGCAGCAGUGGGGAAUAUUGGACAAUGGGCGAAAGCCUGAUCCAGCCAUGCCGCGUGAGUGAUGAAGGCCCUAGGGUUGUAAAGCUCUUUUGUGCGGGAAGAUAAUGACGGUACCGCAAGAAUAAGCCCCGGCUAACUUCGUG